rnacentral:rRNA from 1 species
GACGAACGCUGGCGGCGUGCCUAAUACAUGCAAGUUGAGCGAUGAAGAUUGGUGCUUGCACCAAUUUGAAGAGCAGCGAACGGGUGAGUAACGCGUGGGGAAUCUGCCUUUGAGCGGGGGACAACAUUUGGAAACGAAUGCUAAUACCGCAUAACAACUUUAAACAUAAGUUUUAAGUUUGAAAGAUGCAAUUGCAUCACUCAAAGAUGAUCCCGCGUUGUAUUAGCUAGUUGGUGAGGUAAAGGCUCACCAAGGCGAUGAUACAUAGCCGACCUGAGAGGGUGAUCGGCCACAUUGGGACUGAGACACGGCCCAAACUCCUACGGGAGGCAGCAGUAGGGAAUCUUCGGCAAUGGACGAAAGUCUGACCGAGCAACGCCGCGUGAGCGAAGAAGGUUUUCGGAUCGUAAAACUCUGUUGGUAGAGAAGAACGUUGGUGAGAGUGGAAAGCUCAUCAAGUGACGGUAACUACCCAGAAAGGGACGGCUAACUACGUG